rnacentral:rRNA from 1 species
UACAGAGGGGGCAAGCGUUGUUCGGAAUUACUGGGCGUAAAGGGCGCGUAGGCGGCCUUCUAAGUCGAACGUGAAAUCCCUGGGCUCAACCCAGGAACUGCGUCCGAUACUGGAAGGCUUGAAUCCGGGAGAGGGAUGCGGAAUUCCAGGUGUAGCGGUGAAAUGCGUAGAUAUCAGGAGGAAUACCGAUGGCGAAGGCAGGUCUCUGGGCUAUAACUGACACUGAGGCGCGAAAGCGUGGGGAGCAAACAGG